AGGGUGCGUAGGCGGCCUAUUAAGUCAGGGGUGAAAUACGGUGGCUCAACCAUCGCAGUGCCUUUGAUACUGAUGGGCUUGAAUCCAUUUGAAGUGGGCGGAAUAAGACAAGUAGCGGUGAAAUGCAUAGAUAUGUCUUAGAACUCCGAUUGCGAAGGCAGCUCACUAAGCUGGUAUUGACGCUGAUGCACGAAAGCGUGGGGAUCGAACAGGAUUAGAUACCCUGGUAGUCCACGCCCUAAACGAUGAUAACUCGAUGUUGGCGAUAGACAGCCAGCGUCCAAGCGAAAGCGUUAAGUUAUCCACCUGGGGAGUACGCCCGCAAGGGUGAAACUCAAAGGAAUUGACGGGGGCCCGCACAAGCGGAGGAGCAUGUGGUUUAAUUCGAUGAUACGCGAGGAACCUUACCCGGGCUUGAAAGUUAGUGAAGAGUGCAGAGACGCACUCGUCCUUCGGGACACGAAACUAGGUGCUGCAUGGCUGUCGUCAGCUCGUGCCGUGAGAUGUUGGGUUAAGUCCCGCAACG
rnacentral:rRNA from 1 species